AGCGAACGCUGGCGGCGUGCUUAACACAUGCAAGUCGAACGCGCAGCAUUCUGUAGCAAUACAGGGUGUGAGCGCGUGGCGAACGGGUGCGUAACACGUGGAUAACCUUCCUUGAGGUGGGGAAUAACCCAGUGAAAAUUGGGCUAAUACCGCAUAACAUGACGAUGGCACAUGCUGUUGUCUUCAAAGGCGCAAGUCGCCACAAGAGGGAUCCGCGGCCGAUUAGCUUGUUGGCGAGGUAACGGCUCACCAAGGCAUUGAUCGGUAGCC
rnacentral:rRNA from 1 species